rnacentral:rRNA from 1 species
CCCUUAGAUGUUCUGGGCCGCACGCGCGCUACACUGACGAAGUCAGCGAGCAUCUCCUACGCCGAAAGGUGCGGGGAAUCUUGUGGAACUUUGUCGUGCUGGGGAUUGAUUUUUGAAAUUCUUGAUCAUCAACGAGGAAUUCCUAGUAAGCGCAAGUCAGCAGCUUGCGUUGAUUACGUCCCUGCCCUUUGUACACACCGCCCGUCGCUACUACCGAUUGAAUGGUUUAGUGAGAUUUUUGGACUGGAACUCUCUUGUUCAGCAAUGAACGAGAGGGACUCUGGGAAGCUAUUCUAACUGUAUCAUUUAGAGGAAGUAAAAGUCGUAACA